AAAGAGUGAGUGUGCGUGGCGACGCGGUUGCGGGUACACGUGUUAGUGUGUGGUUUGACUUCCUUCCUUCUCAACUCGUCUCAUCGAUAAAGGAGCCUUGUGUCGCUGCCUGUGUGUCACGUCGUGGCUGGGAGUCACGUGAGGGUACCGAGCAUGGUGUGGCGGAGAAUGUUGCUGCGUGCAUCACAUUGUAACCCACUUCCCGGAACACACUCAUUCCCUCAGCGUUGCAUUCACCUUUAACUGAACGAGUGCGUACACACACCGCCUGGGGGGAAAAAAAUAAAGGAAGGAAACGAGGGAGUGAGGGAAAGAGGGAAACAAAAAACGCUCUACACAAAGGAAAAAAAAAAGAAAAAAGUUGAGCAUUUGAAUUAAUCAAGUGAAAAAAUUAUACAACACGAUUCUGACCAAAAGCAAAAUCGAAAAAGAGGAGGAGGAGGAGCAGGAGAAAGAGCAAGAACAACAACAGCAUGAAGAAGAACAACGUGAAGAAGAAGAAGAAGAAGAAGAAGAAGAUGUAAAGAGCAAGGAAAGGAAAUUCAAAGCAGUUACAAGUAGCGAUUUAUGUUCUCAAUGUGAAAGUCCUAUUGAGACUUUCCUGUUAUUUGUAGUUAAGGAUUUUCACACACACACACACACACACACACACACACACACACACACACACACACACACACA